rnacentral:rRNA from 1 species
GAUGAACGCUGGCGGCGUGCCUAACACAUGCAAGUCGAGCGAGGGUUUGCUCAGUAUUGAGUAUUCUAAAACUAGAAUGUUCAAUUCUGAGCAAAACCAAGCGGCGGACGGGUGAGUAACGCGUGGGUAACCUGCCCUAUACACAUGGAUAACAUACUGAAAAGUUUACUAAUACAUGAUAAUAUAUAUUUGUGGCAUCGCAGAUAUAUCAAAGUGUUAGCGGUAUAGGAUGGACCCGCGUCUGAUUAGCUAGUUGGUGAGAUAACUGCCCACCAAGGCGACGAUCAGUAGCCGACCUGAGAGGGUGAUCGGCCACAUUGGAACUGAGACACGGUCCAAACUCCUACGGGAGGCAGCAGUGGGGAAUAUUGCACAAUGGGCGAAAGCCUGAUGCAGCAACGCCGCGUGAACGAUGAAGGUCUUCGGAUCGUAAAGUUCUGUUGCAGGGGAAGAUAAU